CCCGCGGCUAGACGGAAAGACCCCGUGAACCUUUACUACAGCUUGGCACUGAACAUUGAACCUACAUGUGUAGGAUAGGUGGGAGGCUUUGAAGACGUGACGCCAGUUGCGUUGGAGCCGUUCUUGAAAUACCACCCUUGUAUGUUUGAUGUUCUAACUUAGACCCGUUAUCCGGGUUGAGGACAGUGCCUGGUGGGUAGUUUGACUGGGGCGGUCUCCUCCCAAAGAGUAACGGAGGAGCACGAAGGUGGGCUAAUCACG
rnacentral:rRNA from 1 species